UACGUAGGAGGCAAGCGUUAUCCGGAUUCACUGGGCGUAAAGAGCGCGCGGGCGGUCCUUUAAGUUAGGUGUGAAAUCUCUCAGCUUAACUGAGAUACGCCAUCUAAUACUGGAGGGCUUGAGGGCAGCAGAGGAAGAUGGAAUUCCCGGUGUAGUGGUGAAAUGCGUAGAUAUCGGGAGGAACACCAGUGGCGAAGGCGGUCUUCUGGGCUGUACCUGACGCUGAGGCGCGAAAGCGUGGGGAGCAAACAGG
rnacentral:rRNA from 1 species